rnacentral:rRNA from 1 species
UACGGGGGGGGCAAGCGUUGUUCGGAAUUACUGGGCGUAAAGGGCUCGUAGGCGGCCAACUAAGUCAUACGUGAAAUCCCUCGGCUUAACCGGGGAACUGCGUCUGAGACUGAUGAGCUCGAGUGCAGGAGAGGAACGCGGAAUUCCAGGUGUAGCGGUGAAAUGCGUAGAUAUCUGGAGGAACACCGGUGGCGAAGGCGGCGUUCUGGACUGCAACUGACACUGAGGAACGAAAGCCAGGGGAGCAAACGGG